GAGAGAGAGAGAGAGAGAGAGAGAGAAUCUUGAGCAGGCUCCAUGCUCAGCACAGAGCCUGACAUGGGGCCCGAUCCCACCAGCCUAGGAUCAUGACCCAAAAUCAAGAAUCAGAUGCUCAACUGGCUGAGCCACCCAGACUCCUACCGGUGCCUCCAACGGGAUGAACCCAACUGAAGAAGCCACAGGAAAAAGAGCUCCCUAAUGAAGUCCACAAAGCCUCCCAGGGCCAGAGCCUGGGGGAGAAGGCUGGAAGGUGGAUCCGGCAGCAGAGAAUAUGUAUCCAAAAGAAAACAAAGCAUUGGUUGUGUGGUUCA